UGCAUUAAUUAAGUGAGUUUUACUUGAAAUUAAUUAAUGAAUCCAUGCAAAACCAUUUUUUUCUUUUGUUGCACAGUCAAUAGACAAACAUAUCCAAUGGGCGAAAGUUAUUGGUGAAUACGCAAUAUUGCAAAACUCUGAAACAAAAUUCACAAUAGGUUCAUCAACCACUAGAAUUCAUUUUCAAGAAGAUAUUUAGGUGAUUCUACUUUUUCUCCUAUUUGCCUUCAGAAUAU
rnacentral:lncRNA from 1 species